GAAAGCAUUCGUGCCCGGUGGCACGGCCGGGCUUCAAACCCGGUUGGGGGCGUCAGACGUUCCCAGGUAGGUUCGACUCCUGCUGCUUUCCGCCA
rnacentral:tRNA from 1 species